UAGAGUUUGAUCCUGGCUCACAACGAACGUUGGCGGCCUGGAUUAGGCAUGCAAGUCGAACGAAUCCCCAAGGGGUAACUUUUGGGGGGAAGUGGCGAAAGGGGCAGUAAUGCGUGGGUAACCUACCCUGAGGACCGGGAUAGCCACCCUAACGGGUGGGUAAUACCGGACGAGAUGGCGAGAUCGCCUGGUCUUGCCAUCAAAUGAAUUUCGCCUCGGGAGGGGCUCACGUGGUGUUUGCUAGUUGGGGGGGUAACGGCCUACCAAGGCUAACAUGCCUAGCAGGUGUGAGGGCACGACCUGCGCCACUGGCACUGAGACACUGGCCAGACUCCUACGGGAGGCUGCAGUCGAGGAUCUUCGGCAAUGGGCGCAAGCCCGACCGAGCGACCCCGCGUGCGCGAUGAAAGCCUUCGGGUUGUAAAGCGCUGUCGAGGGGGAGGAAAGCCCGCAAGGGUCUGACCUAUCCCUGGAGGAACCCGGGCUAAGUUCGUGCCAGCAUCCGCGGUAAGAGCAACCUCGCAAACGUUGUUCCCAAUCACUGCGCUUAAAGGACGCGUAGGCGGGCAGCCUACUCAGGGGUGAAAUCUUACCGCUCAGCCCGAAAAUUGGCUUUGAAACUGGCUGUCUCGAGGGAGGUAGGGGCAUGUGACACUUCCCGUGGAGCGGUGAAAUGAGUUGAUAUCGUAAGGAACGCAGGCGUGAGAGCGACGUGCUGGACCUCUUCUGACGCUGAGCGCCAAGCUAGGGGAGCAAACCGGAUUAGACACCCCGGUAGGCCUCUCCUAACG
rnacentral:rRNA from 1 species